AAAAAGUUCAUAAUACUGAAGUAGAUGAACUUACUUGAAGGUAAGUGCUUCUCAGGCACGUCUGACAGCAGAUCUGGGUGAUUGUUGUUCCACUUUUGAAUUGGGAAUCCGCCUGCCUUGCAGAGGUUGAUGCUUUGCGCCAUCUGAGCCUUCAUCAACAGUGUCGGCUGCUCCGACAAUGUCAUCAACGUAGCGACCUCGUGUGAGCGCUGGAGGAGCGAGUGGAUACUUGCUACCAUCAUCACUAAGGAGCUGUUGGAAUGCACGUAGGGCCAGGAAGGCUGCACACGCUAAUCCGUAGGUGUUGGUGAGCUCGUAGGUGAUCAACUGAUUGCCGACAUGCCAGAGGAUGCGCUGAAACUUCUAAUCGUCAGAGUGGUCCUUGAUCUAUCGACAAAACUUCUCAAUAUCCCCAGAGAAGACGUAACGAUGGAGCCUGAAGAAGAGGAGAACGUGAAACAAGUCGAUCUAGAGCUUCACUCCGGAGUGAAGAAGGUCAUUGAGUGAGGUGCCAUUGCUGGUAGCGCUCGGACCGUUGAAGACGACACGGAGCUUCGUGGUUAGGCUGCUUUCCUUCAGGACCCCGUGGUGCAGAAAUUAGUAGUAGGCAACAUCGGACUCUGGAAGGCUCGAUGAGACUGGAACGAGGUGUUGUAAGUUUUCAUACUCCCCCAGAAAGUCGGUGUAUGACUGCUUGAAGGCGGGGUUCAAUCGGAAUUUCUUCGGCAGACAGUACAGCAUCCGUAGGGCUUUGGACUUUGAGUCGCCGAGUUGACUCGGAGGUGAUUUGAAAGGUAGUCGAUCUAUGUAGCGGCCGUCUUUGUCCCUUGAGUGUGUGGUGAGGAAAUGGCUCUCACAUUCCUCUUCGGCUUCGGCUUGCAUCUAAAUCGAGGUCGAUCUUAAGAUGGAGCGUGCGCGACAUGGCUGCCUCAUUGGAACUGCCGGAGGGUCCGGGGACUAUUCACCCGAACCUGGUGAGCUGAGCAGUGGGCGGUAGAGGACCGUCCUUGACAAUGCCUUCUUCAAUAAUUUUGCCGUAGACGUCGGCGCCCAGAAUUAAAUCGAUGGGGCUGGUGAUGAAGUAUUCAGAAUCAGCAAGUUCUAACCCUUGAAGGUGUGGCCACGUCCUCAUGGGUUGACUUGUCGUAGGCAGCGCGUUUGUCAACUUUGGGAGAAUGUGUGCCCGGAUCUUCAUGGACCUGGAAUAAGCUGUGAAUAGUGCGAUACCUCGUGUCCUGCUUGUUGGCUGGCCGCCUAUGCCGAUUAUGUGUAUUAUGUAGUAUUACUAUACUCGUAAUAAUAAAAUCAAUGAGAAGUAUGAAGCAAGGAACCGUCGAAGCCAAAGGGGAUACGACUAUUUAACUGUUAAGAAAAUUACUCCAACUUAUCCAAGAGUUGGAAUCGGCAUUUCGAAAUAGAAUUCAAACGGGGAUUUUACACAUCACUGGCAAUUAUUUGGAUACGAAGGAAUUUGGAUACGCGCCUGUCAACCAGCUGUUUUAAAGAAAUGCAGCAACGCCUUGAUGAACCUACCGUCAAUUAAAUCCAACGUUAGCCUAACAGCGCUUUUCAUCCAGUCGAUCACAGAGGAGGAGAGAAGAGCAUCUAAUCUUUCCAUCUAAUGGAACAGAUUUGUCACAACGUUUUCCAGAUAGUUUUCCAUAUCGUGUCCAGUGAGAAUGCAUUCAACUCUCUUCGCCUGUCUAUCAGAAUGACUCCGCGAUAUUCUUUGGCUCACAAUAGGUAGUAGAAUUGGACGGCCUUAGUCAUCAAGUGGUAAAACUCAAAAUUUCACCAACGAAAUAAGCGGAGCAUAAGCUAAACUCAAAGACAAAAUUACACGUGUAAUCCUUGGAAAUUAUGACGAGCACUGGGCACGUGUCAUCUUCUGCAAGGCAUACCGAAUAGCGAUAUAUACAUAUAGUAGGCGCUAUCAGUCGAUAAUUAUGGACACCUACGCAAGUGAAUGGUGUACCAAAGUAUCACCGGAUUCAAACUGCUCAAGUGAUGAAAAGACUGCUGCUUUAGAACUUGCGUUUGUGGGUCUUGAUUCGAGACUUUCCAGUGUUGGUAUGUCAUAAUAUAUAGAAAUAACUACUGGUAUAUUUGAAGUUUCAGAUGCUUUUCCAUAUCUAUACACACAGCACGUGCUUGGAUAUUAAUGGCUUCUACUUCGCGUUUGGUGCGAUGUUUAGUAAGAGUUGGUGUGUGUAUUUUAUUUUCACUGAUGUGAAACUCAACAAGAUGGAGAUCAAAGACUACCAGCUUUUUAUGGUAGUUCGAGUGUUGCCUGCUAUUGAUUUGAUUAUUAUGACAACGUGGCCAAUCUUGGAUCCUUUCUAUCUAGAAACUUAACAAUUGGAUCCUUAUCCACAUCCAGAACAUUGUCAUCAUACCGGAAAACGAAUAUUGCUGAAGCAAAAUAUUCGUUUUAAAAUGACUAUUUUUGUGUGUUCGAUUUAUGCAUACA